UGAUCUUAUAAAUGCUAGCGUUCUAGGGUCAUAAGCCGAGGGUAUUGUAUACAGGGUGCCUAAAAAAACGCUAUGGAAAUUCAACAGGCUGUUGUGCAUCACAAACUUUGCUAAACAAUUCAAUUUGUACAUAGGACGAAAGAGCUGUUAUUUAGCUUUUCAAUGAUACCUUUCUUAAGCCGCAACGAUGAAAAAUGGCCACAUACUCGUCAAAUAAAAAUUAUUGGUCGAAAUCACAUUCUUCCACCGUUGGGAUUGAAAAUCAUUAAUUAUGCAAAGUUAAUCAAUCCAAAAGCAACGCGAGCCUGCUGCAAGGUUUGAACCAUGUUUAAUGCAAUAAUGCAAUGGACGUUCUUAUUCUCUCACAUUUUAGAUAAUUUAACAUUCAAUUUUAAUUCCCUCUUGGGAAUUGUCUAUGUUUCGUUUUCCAUGCAAUUCCCAACGGUGGAAGAAUGUGAUUUCGACCGGCAAUUUUUAUUUGACGAGUAUGUGGCCAUUUCUCAUCGUUACGAAUUAAAAAGAGUAUCAUUGAAAAGCCAAAUGACUGUUCUUUCGUCCUAUGUAAAAAUUGAAUUGUUUAGCCUCGUUUAUGAGGCACGACAGCCUGUCGAAUUUCCAUAGCGUUUUUUUAACAACUUGUUACAAGGUUGUUAUAAGGAGGUUGUAACAAUAUUGCUAUAAUGUAUUCUGACUGUAUCGGUCGUGUUGGAACAACCUUGCAACAAUUCUGAUAAUAUCAAGUUACAAGUUGUUAACAACUUGUUGACGGCUUGUUGGCAGACUUGCUACAAGAUUUUUAGGGCUGUAAAUCCAUUAUCUCGAUCACGAAAACGAUGCUGUUAUAGCCAAGGCUGAGUACGUUCCGGAACGGUAUAAUAGAGUUUGAUUCUUUCUUGGGGCAUUCUAUUUGCUAUUUGGAUAUCCUAAGUGACUAUUAAGCCAGGAUGGUAGUUGAGAGUUGCAACCAUUUCGGUUAUUUUCAAAACAGAAGAACAGUACAAAUGUAUGAACUCAUUUAUGUAUGUUUCGAG